GGAUCAUUAUAGAGUCUAAACAACUCCCAAACCCCUGUGAACAUACCACCGUUGCUUCGGCGGGUACGCCCCGGGCGCCAUCGCGUGCCCCGGAACCAGGCGCCCGCCGGGGGACUUCAAACUCUUGUUUUACCAUGUAUCGUCUGAGUGGAUUAUUAAAUAAAUCAAAACUUUCAACAACGGAUCUCUUGGCUCUGGCAUCGAUGAAGAACGCAGCGAAAUGCGAUAAGUAAUGCGAAUUGCAGAAUUCAGUGAAUCAUCGAAUCUUUGAACGCACAUUGCGCCCGCUAGUAUUCUGGCGGGCAUGCCUGUCUGAGCGUCAUUUCAACCCUCGCGCCCGGCUUCUUGCCGGAUGCGGUGUUGGGGAUCGGCCUGCCGUCUGACGGCGGGCCGGCCCCGAAACAUAGUGGCGACCACGCCGUAGCCUCCUCUGCGUAGUAACAUAUCACCUCGCAGGUGGAGAGCGGUGCGGUCACGCCGUAAAACCCCCAACUAUACCAAGGUUGACCUC
rnacentral:rRNA from 1 species